CAAAACGCGAUGACGGAGCAAAAAGACGCGUGAUUUUCACCUGAAGAGAGCCGGCGGUCGGUGUGAGCCGGUGGGAAAAUACGCGUGGAUGACUCACUCCCGAGCAGUCCGCCUGAAAGGGCGGAACGGUCGCCCCCGUUACGGGCAAGGCUAUGAAGCCGCUGAGGGCUCACGGGAAACCGUGCGCUGAAUCAGGGUGGUAUCGCGUAAUGUGUUCGUUACGUCCCUGAC
rnacentral:ncRNA from 1 species